UCCCCGGCAGUCACAGUCACGGAAUGGGUUGGAAGGGACCUUAAAGAUCACGGCAGAGGGGGUGGAAUUUGAUGGUCUUUAAGGUCCCAUCCAACCCAAACCAUUCCGGGAUUCCAUGCUCUAGUUCCAAUCCCACAGCCCUCGUGAUGUUCAUUGUGCUGCUGAAAAGGAUGAGCAAAAGGCCAGAGCAGGGAGCAAAAAAUCAAUACGCUGCAGGAAGACAGAAGAUCUGUUUCUAUUCUUCGUCUCUGAUGCCGGGUACCCAGGGAACAUCACUGCAAACAAGGCUGGGAGCUACUGCCCUCCUGCUCAAGCCAGGUUCCCUCAAAGCUACCCUGGCUCCUCUGCACAGGCUGAGGAGUCACUUGUGCUCAGCCACUUCAUGCUCUGCCAACCUGCUGCUUGUGCACUGUGGGAACGUAUUGGACACGUCCAGACAAAUCAGGCUCCCCUCGACAGGCUCGACAAGGGAGCCAGCAGCUACAGGAGCUCUCCGAGUGGAACAGAAAUGAAGGGAUUGGCAUCCCGGGCAGUAAAAGCAUCUCUCAGAAGAUAAACCAGCCUCGCUCACAAGCCAGCCCAACCUGAAGGGGUUGGAAAGACUGUUCAGGUCACAGGAAGAUGCAGGUAGGGAUUUUCUUGGUGUGCUGAGGAGGUGGAGGAUGAACAAGAUGCAGGAUCAAAGGCUCCCUGCUGUUCCAGGCAUCAUCCUUUCAACAGCUACACAAUGCAUCCAAAACACCUCGAAAAUGAGCUGAUACAGCAGUUGAAUAGGUGAAGUCCUCAAGAGCAGCAGGAUGUGAUGUCUGGUAUUAGCCCAGAUGGUGACACCAUCCAUCCGUCCAUCCAUCCAUCCAUCCAUCCAUCCAUCCAUCCAUCCAUCCAUCCAUCCCUUCCACAGGGGCCUCCUUCCAGCAGGAGCCUCCCUAUAAAUCAGGGGGUGAGGAAUAAGCAUGGAGCAUCGGAACUGCAGAAGCAGCAGCACUGCAGUCAUAAAUCAGGACCUAAUUCAAUCUUGUGAGAUGCCUCGUUUGAUUAAUUUAUGUCAGCAUUUUCUCUUCCACCGGCGGCUGCUGUCCCUCCCUGCAUCGCCUCUGCCUCCACACUCCUCUGGACAAUCCAGCAGGCUCCAGGCAGGAUGGAUGGCCAGGAGGGGACACAGCCAGGCCCCACCCAAAGAGAUCUCCAUGGGACUUAACCAAGCCUGACCUCCUGCCCUCUGCCAAAACGCCUGGAUAUGGUGGUUACACCCAUCUGCCACCCCAGGGCAGGGCCACUGAUGUUCUUCAGUCACGAUGAAAGACACUUUUGAACACCUUCUCAACAUGGCAGAGACUCCCUCUGACCCUUGUCUUUUCCCACAUAUUGCUCGCAGCAACAGAAUCUAGCAUCACUAUAUAAAAAACCCCCCGACCUUUAAAAUGGGAGGUGAUGGGGUUGUUUGUCACAGGAAAACCAAAUGCCCGUUGCCACCUUAAAAUAAAGAUGGACCUUAUUGAAAAUCCAGAUGCUUCAUCUGAGCCACACUUUCCUGGGGGAAAGAAAUUACUGAACUAAAUGAACAUGGAGCAAGGAAAUAAAAUAAUACCCACGC